rnacentral:tRNA from 1 species
CAGAGGGUGUUUUAAUUUAAAAUAUCAGUUUUGGGGGCUGGUGAUGUAGUAUUGUUGCUGUUUCUCUGA